GGCGAGAAGAAACCGCCGCCGCGCUGCGGAGGGGGAGCUGGCCGCUGCGGGCGGCCGAAGCCGAAAUCGAAAAACUGCGCCGAGGCCGGCGCAACAAUGCCGAACAGCAUGGCGCCCGCGACCGCGAGAACGGGUGGCCCGCGCUCGGUGAACACGCGCAGGAAAGACGUCGGUUUCGGCCUGUUCGGUGUCGACAUGGA
rnacentral:misc_RNA from 1 species